AGAAGGUAGAGAUGAGAGAUAGUGGGGAGUUUUCUCUGAUAGGCUGAAAAAAGCCUGGGGCUGGAAAUGGGUCCCUCUGAGCUAGAGUCAGUGAAGCCUGGGGCUAGAGGGUGGUUGUCCUGAGUCAGGAGCAAGCUGGAGGCAGUGAAGUCCAAGAGCUAGUGAUAGUAAAACCACAGGUGUGUUUGGACUGAAAUUUGAGAGGCUGCAGGGAGAGAGGGGAGACCUCUGCUAUCUUCCUCUUAGCACUAGAAAGUGGAGAUAGUUCAAUUCUAUGCCUUCCAGACUGGGAGAGACUUUGAAAUGACCUGAUUGGAGGGUUAAAUUCUGAGGUGUGGCAGGCCACCAUGAGAGUGGAGCGACUGUCAGCACAGGCUGCUAAAGAGAAAAGAGUUGUUAUGCCACACCAAGCCCUGAGGUGCCCACCAGUGCUCAUGCUAUUUGGACGCUGGGGGUUGGCAAAACUGUGAUCAGCUAAACACAGCCCUUCUGUGUGGAGACCAAACCACAAAUAGCAGGAUGGCUAGCCGCAUGGCAUCACGUGAGGUAGGUUCAUCCAAUCAAAGGCCCAGAAGAUCCGCCAUGUAAUAAACAUCAUGUGACUUUUCACAACAAACUUCGAUCAAACCCAAAAUGAACCAGCAACACUUGGGUUUCAAUAGAGUCACACCUACCUAGAGAGGGUUUUUUGGUUCUGGCUUUGUUGAAGGGUUUGCAGGCCUGAAAAAAAAAAGUCUGAAGGAAACCCAGCUAGUUCAGUUUUUGAGUAUAAAUCUGAAAUCAGGUAGAGGUUUGGUUUCACAAUGAAGGUUUUACACUGCCCUUGUUCCUAUAGUCAAAACUGAGAUAUUUCCAGUCUAAAUAAUUGCUUCUAAAAGAAGGAUUUGAUUAAUGAGCCA